UGGGGAAUAUUGGACAAUGGGGGCAACCCUGAUCCAGCCAUGCCGCGUGAGUGAUGAAGGCCUUCGGGUUGUAAAGCUCUUUUGGCGGGGACGAUGAUGACGGUACCCGCAGAAUAAGCCCCGGCUAACUUCGUGCCAGCAGCCGCGGUAAGACGAAGGGGGCUAGCGUUGUUCGGAAUUACUGGGCGUAAAGCGCGUGUAGGCGGUUAUCCAAGUCGGGUGUGAAAGCCUUGAGCUCAACUCAAGAAAUGCACUCGGUACUGGGUGACUAGAGGACCGGAGAGGAUAGUGGAAUUCCCAGUGUAGUGGUGAAAUACGUAGAGAUUGGGAAGAACACCAGUGGCGAAGGCGGCUAUCUGGACGGUUUCUGACGCUAAGACGCGAAAGCGUGGGGAGCAAACAGGAUUAGAUACCCUGGUAGUCCACGCCGUAAACGAUGGGUGCUAGACGUUGGCGAGCUUGCUCGUCAGUGUCGCAGCUAACGCGUUAAGCACCCCGCCUGGGGAGUACGGCCGCAAGGUUGA
rnacentral:rRNA from 1 species